rnacentral:rRNA from 1 species
AGAAUCAACGCUGGCGGCGUGCCUAACACAUGCAAGUCGAACGAGAAAGGGGAGCAAUCCCUGAGUAAAGUGGCGACCGGGUGAGUAACACGUGACUAACCUACCCUCGAGUGUGGAAUAACAUCGGGAAACCGAUGCUAAUACCGCAUAACAUCGGCGCUUUUAAGAGAUGCCGAUCAAAGGAGCAAUCCGCUUGAGGAGGGGGUCGCGGCUGAUUAGCUAGUUGGCGGGUAACGCCCACAAGGCGAAGAUCGGUA